AUGCCGUUUCUGGGAACAAUGCUUGACUCGGUGACAAUGAGGGCAACGAUGGUGAAGGAGCGCGCCGCGAACGCGUCUCUUCAGACUGACGUCGCGACUGCUGGAAUGGACCCAAAGCAAUUUGGGGUCCCUGAGAGCAGUGCAUCUUCCGGGCAAGCUGAACCAGGGCGCGGAUAUGCUGUCAAGAAGCGGAGUCUCCUCAGAAGAGUGGAGACUCCACCCGCAGACGGUUCAGAAGAUAUGGGAGGUCUUUGGCAGAGCGGAAAUAGACCUCUUUGCCUCAAAAGACAACUCUCAUUGCCCAAUAUAUUUUUCCAAGAUCAAGGACGCGUUGUCCCAGGACUGGCCCAACCGUCUUCUUUAUGCUUUUCCUCCGGUCCCUCUGAUUCCCCAAGUAAUCAGGCGGGUCAGGGACCAGAGAUGCAGGGUUCUGCUUGUAGCCCCAUUCUGGGAAAAUCAGCACUGGAUAGCCGACCUGUCGCAGAUGCUGACUGCAGCCCCAUGGCCCGUUCCCCUGAGACGGGACCUCCUUUCUCAGGCGGACGGGACGAUUUGGCAUCCACACCCAGAGAAGUGGUCUCUGCACAUUUGGUCGCUCGACGGGAGCCCGCGGGACUCCCUGAGCGUGUGCUAGACACAAUUUCACAGGCUAGAGCUCCGUCUACACGACGCCUCUAUGCCUCCAAAUGGUCUGUGUUCUCCACAUGGUGUUCAGACCAUGGUGAGAGCCCGACCUCUUGUGACGUAUCAGUGAUACUGUCAUUUUUGCAAGAGCUCUUGGAGAAGGGACGAUCCCCCUCCACGCUCAAGGUCUAUGUAGCAACUAUAGCGGCAUCACACGCCCUUAUAGCAGGCCAGUCGGUGGGCAGAAACGACUUAGUCGUCCGAUUUAUGAGAGGUGCCAGACGGCUUCAUCCGCCUUGCCCUCCCACCGUCCCUUCUUGGGACCUGCCCACGGUGCUGAGAGCCCUGAAGGGGGCCCCCUUUGAACCGCUACAGUCCAUAGGCCUUAAAGCCCUGUCGCUAAAGACCGCUCUGCUAUUGGCACUAGCGUCUGUUAAGCGUGUGGGUGAUUUGCAAGCACUUUCGAUAAGCCCUAAUUGCCUAGAAUUCGGGCCUAACGACUCGAGGGUCGUCCUGAAACCGAGGCAUGGCUAUGUGCCAAAGGUGCUCUCCACACCUUUUAGAGCACAAGUGGUCACCCUCUCUGCGUUACAAAACACAGAGGAGGAUCCAGGGCUGAAUCUACUUUGCCCAGUGAGGGCUCUAAAAGUCUACAUAGAGCGUUCUGCACCAAUAAGACGAUCAGAACAGCUCUUCAUAUGCUUUGGAAACCGCACCAGAGGGUUACCGGUCUCUAAGCAAAGACUUUCAAGGUGGAUUGUGGAUGCAAUCCAGCUAGCCUACUCUUCUUUGGGCCUGCAAAGCCCAAUUGGAGUAAGAGCCCAUUCGACGAGAGCAGUGUCUUCGUCUUGGGCAUGGUCUAAUGGUGUGACUAUCGCAGAAAUUUGUGAGGCGGCUGGCUGGAGCUCGCCGUCCACAUUUGCUAGAUUUUACAAUCUAGACGUCCCAGCGCUUCAUGCUAGGGUACUUUCUGUGUGA
ensembl:lncRNA